rnacentral:rRNA from 1 species
CUGGCUCAGAUUGAACGCUGGCGGCGUGCUUAACACAUGCAAGUCGCGCGUGAAAGGACUUCGGUCCGAGUAAAGCGGCGCACGGGUGAGUAACGCGUGGAUGAUCUACCCAUGAGUUAGGAAUAACGGCUGGAAACGGUCGCUAAUACCAAAUACGCUCCGAUUUCAACUUCGGGGGGAAAGGUGGCCUCUGCUUGCAAGCUACUGCUCAUGGAUGAGUCCGCGUCCCAUUAGCUAGUUGGUGGGGUAACGGCCCACCAAGGCGACGAUGGGUAGCCGGUCUGAGAGGAUGACCGGCCACACUGGGACUGGAACACGGCCCAGACUCCUACGGGAGGCAGCAGUGGGGAAUAUUGCGCAAUGGGCGAAAGCCUGACGCAGCGACGCCGCGUGAGGGAUGAAGGUCCUCGGAUCGUAAACCUCUGUCAGGAGGGAAGAACCGCCACGGUGCUAAUCAGCCGUGGUCUGACGGUACCUCCAAAGGAAGCACCGGCUAACUCCGUGCCAGCAGCCGC